UAAAAAAAAUAGGAGAGAAAAAAAAGAGGGGGAAAAAACAUUAAAAAUAAGAAGAAAAAAGAGGAAGAAGAAAGAGAUUUUAAAAGAAAAAGGGAGAAAAAAGGAAGAAAAAAAAAAAGGAAGGAAAAGACCCAAGAAAGAGAAAGUCUAAAGGGAAGAUAAUUUGAAAGAGGAUUCCUAAAGUAAGUCAAGACAUGAAUUUGUCUUUAAGCACAGCAGAAUGUACUGCUGUGAAAGGAGCUGAAGCUUCUACCCUGUGUUGCACAUGCAUCAAAUUAAGCAGAAUUCUCCUCCCUGGGCUGGAUAAUGUCUUCCAGAUCCUUUGGCCUGGAUCUUUUUCUUUUUGCCUUUCAGACUAUCCUUCUACUGUGAGCUAAGCUAAAAGGAGAGAAGUUGUUUAUAGUGACAGUUUGCCAUAGGAAUAUCAGCAUCUUUGUAAGGGAUUAGUUCCUGCUGACUCCAGCGUUUCCUGCUGAUCCGUUCCCUAACAACCAGGAAACUUCAGGAAAAGAGAUGGAUUUGGACUGAGAGUGAUCACACUGAAAAAUUCCCACUGGCUGCACCAAAACCUUUCCCUUUCCCCACAUCUGAGGAGAGCCUGAAGGAGCUGGGGCUGUGCUGCUUGGAGAAGAGGACACUGAGAGUUGACCUCGACAGUGGUUAUGAAGUUGUGAAGGCCCUUCCCCAGCUUCAUUGCCCUCCUCUGGACCUGCUCCAGCACCUCCACAUCUCUCCUGUACUGCAGUUGACUUGGCACAUGUUUUUGCUGCUGUGAGAAGUGAAAGAGAAGAGGAUAAAACUCUGCUCUUCAUCCCUGCCUCCUGUGAGACAGCAGUGGCCCAGAAGAGCUCCCCCAGAAUCCACAGUUCUGUGGCAGCCACAUUUUAGCAGAACCAGGCUGCCACUCUUCUGCCCAGCAGUUCUGUGCCAGAAUAACACUUCAGUGUGUACUGCUUCCAAAAGUGGCUGCCUUUAAUCAUUGCUAGACAAGGAAUGAAUUGAUGAACUUCAUAGUGAGGAAAUGGUAACUGCUCUCUUUCCCUCUAUUGGUCUGAAAGUCUCUUAUGGUCUGGGGGGGGGUUAUUUGAAAUAGUGAGGGGUAAGUAGCCUGCAAAGUGUUUUGUAGAUGUUAGGAACUGUAAUUAAAACCCAUUUGCUUGCCCUAGUUAUUUUUAGAAAGUGGAUGAGGAUAGCCUGUUCUGCACUGCCCUCUGCUUGGGAGAGCACUGAGCCACCCAAUCUCCCCUCACUGUGCUUGGAGGAACAUCAAAAGUGCCUCUAACAAAGACAUGCUUUUAAAGCCCAAGCAAAUGAGCUGCAAGCACCACUUACAUUUAUGCUUU